rnacentral:pre_miRNA from 1 species
CGCGUCGGUGCCGUGUUCUGUGCCUGACUCGGCUGGCGCCGGUCUGUCACAGAACACGGGACCGACCGCAG